UGGGGAAUAUUGCGCAAUGGGGGAAACCCUGACGCAGCAACGCCGCGUGAGUGAGGAAGGUUUUCGGAUUGUAAAGCUCUGUCGAGCGGAAAGAAAUGCAUUAUGGCUAAUAUCCAUGAUGCUUGACGGUACCGCUAAAGGCAGCACCGGCUAACUCCGCGCCAGCAGCCGCGGUAAUACGGGGGGUGCAAGCGUGAUUCGGAAUCAUUGGGCGUAAAGCGCGUGUAGGCGGCUUGACAAGUCAGAUGUGAAAUCCCUGGGCUUAACCCAGGAAGUGCAUUUGAAACUGUCUAGCUUGAGUAAGGGAGAGGAAAGUGGAAUUCCUGGUGUAGAGGUGAAAUUCGUAGAUAUCAGGAGGAACACCGGUGGCGAAGGCGACUUUCUGGCCCUAUACUGACGCUGAGACGCGAAAGCGUGGGUAGCAAACA
rnacentral:rRNA from 1 species